rnacentral:rRNA from 1 species
CAGCUCUUGACAUGUCACGUAUGGGUACCGGAGACAGUAUUCUUCAGUUCGGCUGGCGUGAACACAGGUGCUGCAUGGCUGUCGUCAGCUCGUGUCGUGAGAUGUUGGGUUAAGUCCCGCAACGAGCGCAACCCUCGCCCUUAGUUGCCAUCAUUCAGUUGGGCACUCUAGGGGGACUGCCGGUGAUAAGCCGAGAGGAAGGUGGGGAUGACGUCAAGUCCUCAUGGCCCUUACGGGCUGGGCUACGCACGUGCUACAAUGGCGGUGACAAUGGGCAGCGAAAGGGCGACCUGGAGCUAAUCUCAAAAAACCGUCUCAGUUCGGAUUGCACUCUGCAACUCGAGUGCAUGAAGUUGGAAUCGCUAGUAAUCGUGGAUCAGCAUGCCACGGUGAAUACGUUCCC